AUUGAACGCUGGCGGCAGGCUUAACACAUGCAAGUCGAACGAGUGGCGGACGGGUGAGUAAUUCUUGGGAAUCUAGCUUAUGGAGGGGGAUAACUACUGGAAACGGUAGCUAAUACCGCAUACCAUCAGAUGAACCCAUAUGGGAUUAGCUUGUAGGUGGGGUAACGGGUCACCUAGGCGACGAUCCCUAGCUGGUCUGAGAGGAUGAUCGGCGAAACUGAGACUGAGACACGGCCCAGACUCCUACGGGAGGCAGCAGUGGGGAAUAUUGCACAAUGGGCGAAAGCCUGAUGCAGCCAUGCAGCGUGGAUGAGGAAGGCCUUCGGGUUGUAAAGUACUUUCAGUCGGGAGGCGUUAGCGAGAGAAGAAGCACCGGCUAACUCCGUGCCAGCAGCCGCGGUAAUUC
rnacentral:rRNA from 1 species